rnacentral:rRNA from 1 species
UGGGGAAUAUUGCGCAAUGGGCGAAAGCCUGACGCAGCGACGCCGCGUGAGGGAUGAAGGCCUUCGGGUCGUAAACCUCUGUCAGGGGGGAAGAAGUGUGCUUGUGCUAAUCAGCAGGCAUUUGACGGUACCCCCAAAGGAAGCACCGGCCAACUCCGUGCCAGCAGCCGCGGUAAUACGGAGGGUGCGAGCGUUAAUCGGAAUUACUGGGCGUAAAGAGUUCGUAGGCUGUUUGGUAAGUUAGGGGUGAAAUCCCGCGGCUCAACCGCGGAACUGCCCUUAAAACUGCUGGACUUGAGUGCGAGAGAGGGUGGCAGAAUUCCUGGUGUAGGAGUGAAAUCCGUAGAUAUCAGGAGGAAUACCGGUGGCGAAGGCGGCCACCUGGCUCGUAACUGACGCUGAGGAACGAAAGCGUGGGGAGCAAACAGG